rnacentral:rRNA from 1 species
GACGAACGCUGGCGGCGUGCUUAACACAUGCAAGUCGAACGAAGUGGCGAACGGGUGAGUAAUACGUGGGUAACCUGCCCUCCUUUUUGGGAUAAGCCUUGGAAACGGGGUCUAAUACCGAAUAAAGGGGGAUGGGCUCGCGGCCUAUCAGCUUGUUGGGGGGGUGAUGGUCUACCAAGGCGGUGACGGGUAGCCGGCCUGAGAGGGUGAACGGCCACAUUGGCACUGAGAUACGGCCCAGAGUCCUACGGGAGGCGGCAGUGGGGGAUAUUACACAAUGGGCGAAGGCCUGAUGCAGCGACGCCGCGUGGGGGAUGAAGGCUUUCGGGUUGUAAACCUCUUUCGCAAUCGACCGGGUAGGUGGAGAAGAAGCGCCGGCUAACUACGUGCCAGCAGCCGCGGUAAUUC